rnacentral:rRNA from 1 species
GCAAGAUUAAAACUCAAAGGAGUAGACGGGGACCCGCACAAGUGGUGGAGCAUGUGGUUUAAUUCGAAGAUACGCGAAGAACCUUACCUAGCCUUGACAUUGAUGGAAUCUUUCAGAGAUGAGAGAGUGCCCUUCGGGGAGCUUGAAAACAGGUGCUGCACGGCUGUCGUCAGCUCGUGUCGUGAGAUGUUGGGUUAAGUCCCGCAACGAGCGCAACCCUCGUCACUAGUUACUAACGGUUCGGCCGAGGACUCUAGUGAGACUGCCUUCGUAAGGAGGAGGAAGGUGAGGACGACGUCAAGUCAUCAUGGCCCUUACGGCUAGGGCUACACACGUGCUACAAUGGUUAGGACAAUGAGAAGCGAUACCGCGAGGUGGAGCAAAUCUAUAAACCUAAUCUCAGUUCGGAUUGUUCUCUGCAACUCGAGAGCAUGAAGCUGGAAUCACUAGUAAUCGUAAAUCAGCAAUGUUACGGUGAAUACGUUCCCGGGUCUUGUACUCACCGCCCGUCACACCAUGGGAGUUGAUUUCACCCGAAGCGGGGAAGCUAAACUGGCUACCCUCCACGGUGGAAUUAGCGACUGGGGUGAAGUCGUAACAAGGUA